CACAUGACAAGUACGGAACGGCAGCGACGGGGCAACCGUGGUGGCGAGUGGACGGAACGGGUGAAGUAAUACAGUACGGAACGUCGCCCAGUCGGUGGGGAAUAACGUAGACGAAAGCUACGACUAACUACCGCAUACGAUCGUACGGAUAGAAAGGCGGGGGACUCGCAAGAGCCUCGCGCGAUUGGAGCGGCCGAUGGCAGAUUAGGUAGUUGGUGGGGUAAAGGCUCACCAAGCCUGCGAUCUGUAGCUGGUCUGAGAGGACGACCAGCCACACUGGAACUGAGACACGGUCCAGACUCCUACGGGAGGCAGCAGUGGGGAAUUUUGGACAAUGGGCGCAAGCCUGAUCCAGCCAUUCCGCGUGCAGGAUGAAGGCCUUCGGGUUGUAAACUGCUUUUGUACGGAACGAAAAGGUUUUCUCUAAUACAGAGGGCUCAUGACGGUACCGUAAGAAUAAGCACCGGCUAACUACGUG
rnacentral:rRNA from 1 species